rnacentral:rRNA from 1 species
CAGGAAAAGGAUUUAAGUCCUACCUUAAGUUUCUUCGUAACUCUAAUUACUUCACAAAACUUAAGAGCUAUUCAAAUAAGGUACAGCCUAUUUGAAACAGGAUACAACCUACAACAUUGGGUAAUGAAUUCUGCUUCAUAAUUAAGUGGGCCUAAGAGCAGCCACCUUUAAAAAAGCGUUAAAGCUUUAUUAUAUUAGCACAAUAAUUACAUUAAUUCCCCAAAACCCUUACCCCCGUACUGAGCGACUUCAUAAUAUUAUGAAAAACCAUAUGCUAGAACUAGUAACAAGAAGAAGACCUUCUCCAAAAUGUACAUAUAAGCCAAAAUGAACAACUCAUUGGCACUUACCGCUUAUGAACCAACAGUAGUAACUCAACAAGAAAACUCUACUAUCCAUAACGUUAACCUUACACUAGCACAUUCCAGGAAAGAUUAAAAGGAAGGGAAGGAACUCGGCAAAUAAUAACCUCGCCUGUUUACCAAAAACAUCGCCUCCUGAAUAAUUAUAGGAGGUCCAGCCUGCCCAGUGACAAAGUUAAACGGCCGCGGUACCCUAACCGUGCAAAGGUAGCGCAAUCACUUGUUCUUUAAAUAAGGACUAGUAUGAAUGGCAUCACGAGGGUUAUACUGUCUCCCCCACCUAAUCAGUGAAACUGAUCUUCCCGUGAAGAAGCGGGAAUAAAAUUAUAAGACGAGAAGACCCCAUGGAGCUUUAAACUCAACAUCAACUGCCCUCUAAAUAACUUAUUAACCACGCAGAUCUGACAGUUAGUUUUCGGUUGGGGUGACCGCGGAGUAAAACAAAACCUCCACGAUGAAAGGAAUUAACCUCCUAAUCUAAGAGCUACAGCUCUAAGAAUCAACAAAUUGACAAAACUUGAUCCAAAUAUUUUGAUCAACGAACCAAGUUACCCUGGGGAUAACAGCGCAAUCCAUUUCAAGAGCUCAUAUCGACAAAUGGGUUUACGACCUCGAUGUUGGAUCAGGGUAUCCCAGUGGCGCAGCCGCUA